UCGAGAAUUUUUCACAAUGGGCGAAAGCCUGAUGGAGCGACGCCGCGUGGGGGAUGAAUGGCUUCGGCCCGUAAACCCCUGUCAUUCGCGAGCAAAGCCUUCCCGAUAACACCGGGACGGUUGAUCGUAGCGAAAGAGGAAGGGACGGCUAACUCUGUGCCAGCAGCCGCGGUAAUACAGAGGUCCCAAGCGUUGUUCGGAUUCACUGGGCGUAAAGGGUGCGUAGGUGGUGAGGUAAGUUCGAUGUGAAAUCUCCGGGCUCAACCCGGAAAAGGCAUUGAAUACUAUCUUGCUCGAGGUUUGGAGGGGGGAUUGGAAUUCUCGGUGUAGCAGUGAAAUGCGUAGAUAUCGAGAGGAACACCGGUGGCGAAGGCGAGUCCCUGGACAACACCUGACACUGAGGCACGAAAGCUAGGGGAGCAAACAGG
rnacentral:rRNA from 1 species